rnacentral:rRNA from 1 species
UACGGGGGGAGCAAGCGUUGUUCGGAUUUACUGGGCGUAAAGGGCGCGUAGGCGGUCAGUCAAGUCACUUGUGAAAUCUCUGGGCUUAACCCAGUAGCGGCCAAGUGAUACUGAAGGGCUAGAGUGCGGAAGGGGCAACCGGAAUUCUUGGUGUAGCGGUGAAAUGCGUAGAUAUCAAGAGGAACACCUGCGGCGAAGGCGGGUUGCUGGGCCGACACUGACGCUGAGGCGCGAAAGCUAGGGGAGCGAACGGGAUUAGAAACCCUCGUAGUCC